UACCAAUGUCUCUGAUACAAGGAUUAAAAUACUCAUCGGUACGGGCUGUAUUCACCAUGUCGUAUCGUAUUAGCAAGAUAUCGGCAUAAUACAGCUCUCGUAUCGAUGGCACAAUUCAAAACCCUUUCUUCUUGAAAUUAGUAAGUAGUUUUUUUAAUAAAGUUCAAAAAAUUUGAUAAAAAUGUAUAAUAAAUAAUUGACAUAUUUUGUUGCUAAAGAAAAUAAAUAUUUCAUGCCAUUACGUGUCAGUAUAAAUAUAUUUUUUAUGACCGACACGCAUCGGUACGGUCUGACACAUACUGUGUCGGCAAGUUUCGGGUACGAUCCCAUGCCACAACACUUAAAUCCUUACUUUGAUAAAUUAGACACGUUUUUAUUUAAGCGCAUUUUUUUUCUACUGAUGAAUUUCACUUCGAUCUUAAAAUAGUGUUACUGAUAA
rnacentral:lncRNA from 1 species